CGCUUCCCAUACAAUUACUACUAUGGCUAGAUUAACCAGACAACAACAGCAAAGCGUGGCAUACAUACUUAACCACCAUAUAAACUGUGCUUGAAAUCGGUGAGCUUGAAGAUUUUUCUAAUCAUCUUGAAUACUGUGAAUCUUUGGCAAACAGUCUAAUAAAUAUUUGGCUUCA